CCCCAAACGACACUCCACAACCACGCCACCUCCACGACGCCGCCACAGCCCCUCCCUUCCCUUCCCUUCUCCCGGUUCUCCGUCAGCCCGGCACUCGGCCACCAACACCCGCAGAGAACGGACGGAUCAAGCAGAAGCACCAUGACCACCUACUUCAGCUACCCCGCCCCUGAGCUUCAGGCCGAGCUCCGGCGCAUCGCCAACGCCAUCGUGGCCCCGGGGAAGGGCAUCCUGGCCGCCGACGAGUCCACGGGCACCAUGGGCAAAGCGCCUCUCCAACAUCGGCCUCGAGAACACCGACGAGAACAGACGGAAGUACCGCCAACUGCUCUUCACUUCCGACAAGGAGCUCGGAAACUACAUCUCGGGUGUGAUUCUUUUCCACGAGACACUCUACCAGAAAACAGAUGACGGUCGCCCCUUCGUCGAUCUCAUCAAGCAACUCGGGAUCAUCCCCGGAAUUAAGGUCGACAAGGGUGUCGUUCCCCUCAUGGGAUCUGAAGGCGAGAGCACAACCCAGGGUCUCGAUGACCUCUCCCAGCGCUGUGCUCAGUACAAGAAGGACGGCUGUGACUUCGCUAAGUGGCGCUGCGUCCUGAAGGUCGGCACCAACACCCCCAGCUACCAGGGCAUGCUGGAGAACGCCAAUGUCCUCGCUCGCUACGCUUCCAUCUGCCAGAUGAACGGCCUCGUGCCCAUUGUUGAGCCCGAGGUGCUGAUGGACGGCAGCCACGACCUGGACCGCGCCCAGAAGGUCACCGAGGCCGUCCUGUCCUUCACAUACAAGGCCCUCGUAGACCACCACGUCUUCCUCGAAGGCACUUUGCUCAAGCCCAACAUGGUCCUCGCCGGCCAGGAAUGCCCCACCAAGUACACACCCCAGCAGGCUGCCACGGCCACCGUCCUGGCCCUGUCCCGCACCGUGCCCGCCGCCGUGCCCGGCAUCUGCUUCCUCUCCGGCGGCCAGUCUGAGGAGGAGGCGACGGUGCACCUGGACGCCAUCAACAAGUGCACGGCCGGCAGGAAGCCUUGGGCGCUCACCUUCAGCUACGGCCGAGCCCUGCAGGCGUCGGCCCUGAAGGCGUGGAGCGGCAAGGACGUCAAGGCCGGUCAGGCCGAGCUCAUGAAGAGAGCCAAGGCCAACGGAGCCGCCGCCUUGGGCAAGUACGCGGCUGGCACUGUCGCUGGUGCCGCCGGCGACGAGGGCCUCUUCGUCAAGAAUCACCAGUACUAGACGCCCUUCGAGAACCGCUAGUACAAGGACGACCUCGAAGCCAUCACGCGAGGAAUGGAGUCGUCCUCCCUCCCUCUCUCUUCUCUCUCUUUCCUUCCAUCCUUUUGUCAUCGUCAAAAUGUCAUCUUUCUUCCGGAGAUUUGUCUCUGAUACCCCGUCCCCCCCAUCUCUGCGGUUGAGUUGUCAUGAUGGAAUGAACUUAUGGAUUUCUGUUUAAAGAUUUGAGAAUUGUUAUUCUUUCAGAGGACAUGUUCGAAAGUGUUAUAGGUAUAUAUAUAUGUGUAUCUCAAGUGCCGAGUUACCACCACCCACCCUUAUGUGUACCUAAUGAUAUUUAAAAUGUUGAAUCUGUCAGCAUUCCAUUUGUGACGCUUUCAUUUAAAACAAUAAAAUCAAGGAAUGUAA